UUCCCUCAAGAAGCAACCAGGGCCCUGAGCUUAAAACUUUUUCUCCCCCCUAAUGCGAGACCAGGCCAGAUCCCAUCCAACACUUCGUUUAAUUUUCAUGGGGCUCUGGGAUCAAAGGAACAGAAACAGCAACAUCAAAAGCUCAGCCGCUAUCUGAUUUUAAACUGGCACAGUGGGAAAAUAAAGUGUUGAGUAAACAGACCAAGUUGGGUGUUCAGCAACAGAGACUUGGAGACCAAAGCCAAUAAAAGGACUAAGAAGACAACAGAUAUGUUGGCCCUCACCUCCAAAGUCAGCCAGUGCUCAGGGGACAAACCUCCGGACCAGGGAGAUUAUGAGGAUCCUGGAGAUUAAGAAACAACAGGCUCCUUGUAAGACUCUAAGAAUAAUCCUGGAGGAGCCCAGACUGAUGGUAACAAUAGAAGGAAAAAUGUUGAUUUUUGGCAAAAAAGUUGAUUUUUGGUAUCGAACACUUGACAGGGAAGUAUAACCACAACAAAUGUGCUGUGAUGGGGGUGGAGGAAAAAUCAAAGAGAAAUCAUACAUGGAUAAAUAAGGCAGAAAGAUAGUGAUCUUAUCUUUUGGUGCAUGUGGACACCUUCACAGGUUGCCAUUUCAGAUGGCUGAAGCUGCCUGGAGCUGUGGGUGAGGCACCAUUGCACCCAACCACUUCGCUUGACUGACAGUCACAGCAACAGCCACUGCCCCAGGGUGCAGGCAGUAGCACUGUGCCUAUGGAACAAGGUGAGGUGAUCCAGUACACUGCUGCUGUCCCUGUGCUGGAAGGACUGUCAUCAUUGUCAACUGGAAGGUCUGUCAUGGUUGGCAACUGUCACACCAUCUGCCCCUGCUCUAGAGGCUUCCUCGUCAGCACCCUUGCACAGGAAGAACAUUCCAGCCACCACCCACCACCCCAGGAGAUGAAGCUUCAGUAGCUGUCAUGGCAAUUGCCACUUUAGCUACAGGUGCUCUAGAAGUCCAAGAUCUGACCACAGCCAGCCCAGGGGACUCUGCUUCAUCUGUGACUACAUCUGCUGCUGCAGCAAAUACCAUGCCUGUUUUAGUUGCCGUGGGAACCACUGCUUCAGCCACUGCUGCUCCACAGGUGACUGCUGCAGCUCCAGUCACUCCAGAGGCCUCUGCGGCACAGAGUGGGUGACUCCCUUAUAGCUUGCUGGGUUGGUGGGGAUGAGUACCUCCCUCUCCCUAUGAUAGCUGAGUAUAGAUGGAUUCAGAUCACCAUGACUAGCCUGAUGUGCAGAAUUCUACAGGCAUUAUAGCUGACUGGGCAUUUGCUGGAGCCCAGCUUGCUACAAAGUUCUUCCUUGGUAGAAUCAUGCACAAACCACAAAUGACUGAGUGACUAUAUUAGGCGUCAGCCUGUUCUCUGGGUUCUUCUCACUUUAUGUCACAGAGAGCUUAUAGGGUAAUGGGUACUAAUUUUUUCCAUUUUGUAGAUGAGGUAUGAUGAAGCCCAGGAGGUUAAGUAACUUAUCCCAAGUUACAUAGUAGGAAAAUCAGGAUUUAUUAAUUAAUUAUUAUUAUUAUUGUUAUUGUUAUUAUUAUUAUAAACAUAUUCAUUGUAUAAGUUAAUGGGAUUACUGUAAUAUUUUUAUACAUGCAUACAUCAAUCAUUGAUCUAUCCAUCUUUUAUUCUUUCCUCUCUUCUCCUCUACCUUCCCUUUUGGCACUGUUCCAAGUUCCUAGUAAUCCAUUUUAUACUUUCAGGUCAUCUUUUUAAUUUCCUCAUAUGAGGGAGGACAUGCAAUACUUCUGUUUUGGUCUCUGGCUUAUUUCAUUCUUUGUGACUGAGUAGUAUUCGAUUGUGUAUAUAUGCCAUAUUUUCUUUAUCCAGUCACCUGUUGAUGGGCACCUCGUUUGAUUCUGUAUCUUGGUUAUUGCAAAUAGUGCCACAAUAAACAUGGCCAUGCAGAUAUCUCUUUCGUGUGCUGACUUUAUUUCCUUUGUGUAUAUACCCAGAAGUGAAAUAGCUAUAUCAUAUGGUAGUUCUAUUCUCCGUUUUUUGAAGAAUCUCCACACUGUUUAUUAGAGUGGCAAUACUAACUUACAUUUCCACCAACAGUGCACAAGCAUUUCUUUUUCUUCACAUCCUUGUCAGCAUUUUGGGAGGUGGGGUGAUAGCCAUUCUGAUUGGAGUGUGAUAGCUCCUCAUCGUAGUUUUGAUUUGCAUUGUGCUGAUGGGUAAUGA